rnacentral:rRNA from 1 species
UACGUAGGGGGCUAGCGUUGUCCGGAUUUAUUGGGCGUAAAGAGCGUGUAGGCGGCCAGGUAGGUCGGUUGUGAAAACUGGAGGCUCAACCUUCAGAGGUCGACCGAAACCCCCUGGCUAGAGUCCGGGAGAGGAGAGUGGAAUUCCUGGUGUAGCGGUGAAAUGCGCAGAUAUCAGGAAGAACACCCGUGGCGAAAGCGGCUCUCUGGAACGGUACUGACGCUGAGACGCGAAAGCGUGGGGAGCGAACAGG